rnacentral:rRNA from 1 species
GACGUCACAGAGGGUGAGAAUCCCGUACGUGGUCGCUAGCCUCCGCCGUGUAAAGCCCCUUCGACGAGUCGAGUUGUUUGGGAAUGCAGCUCUAAAUGGGAGGUAAAUUUCUUCUAAAGCUAAAUACUGGCCAGAGACCGAUAGCGCACAAGUAGAGUGAUCGAAAGAUGAAAAGCACUUUGGAAAGAGAGUCAAAUAGCACGUGAAAUUGUUGAAAGGGAAGCGCUUGCAGCCAGACUUGCCUGUAGUUGCUCAUCCGGGCUUUUGCCCGGUGCACUCUUCUACAGGCAGGCCAGCAUCAGUUUGGGCGGUUGGAUAAAGGUCUCUAUCACGUACCUCUCUUCGGGGAGGCCUUAUAGGGGAGACGUCAUGCAACCAGCCUGGACUGAGGUCCGCGCAUUUGCUAGGAUGCUGGCGUAAUGGCUGUAAGCGGCCCGUCUUGAAACACGGACCAAGGAGUCUAACAUCUAUGCGAGUGUUUGGGUGUCAAGCCCGAGCGCGUAAUGA